rnacentral:rRNA from 1 species
CCUACGGGAGGCAGCAGUCAAGAAUAUUCCUCAAUGGCCGAAAGGCUGAAGGAGCGACGCCGCGUGUAUGAUGACGCCUUUCGGGGUGUAAAAUACUUUUAACCGGGACGAAAUACUGACGGUACCGGUUGAAUAAGGGGCUGCUAACCUCGUGCCAGCAGCCGCGGUAAU